GAAUUCUGAUCUCCAUCAUUGCGUGUGCCGAAAAACAAAUGAAGAUUUAUACUGAAAUUCUGUUCCUUGUGUUAGUAGAUUUACUGCUUUUUGAUUUCAAGUGUCCUGCCUUCAAAUAACCUUGGACUGAUUUCGGGGGCACAGAAACGUGAACAGGAAGGGCCACCUGACUCGUUUCCAAUUAAAAGAUAUAUAUGUAUAAUGUCGCAACCGCUCUCGCCCCACUCCUCUGAGAAACUCCGUGAGUCAGCAGUUCUAGGAAGGCCAAUAACGGGGUGACUGAAAGCGAGAGUUUAAUGUACUUAAAUGGCGGACUAAACUUUAGCAUCCCUACCCGGUUUCUUUUUCUUUGAAAAAGACCACCUUUCUUUCUUGCAGGUGGAAUAAGAGGAUUACCUCCGUUGCAACGGAACCAUAUUUACGUAACAAUGUGGGACGGCAAUACUUACCAUGGAAUUAUCCGACCCAGGCCCAAUAUAUUUCCACCCUGCUUCCUGAACCCGAAUUCAGAGUUUGAAUUAUAUGUGUAUUAUAUACGAACGGAACAUCACAAUCAAUAUGCUUCACUUCUCUCUCAUAUGCCUCCAGUUCGCCCUAUAAUUCAUGAUCUUCAUUUUCCAAUGCAAUUUCUUAUAAAAAUAGGGAAUAGCCAAAUUUAUUCAGGAAAUAAUUUCGAAGUGUACAAUGUGAAUGAACAUAACCAUGCAUGUACAAGUACAAUCAACUAUGUAGAAGGCAAUUUACCAGAGUCCAACCAUGUAUACAUAGGAGUGCCACCCAAAGGAGUAUAUAGAUCAGUUUUACAUGAGUUGUAAUCAUGAUUAGAGUUCUGCGAUGGAUUAGCCUUGUAAUUGUCAACACGAUUGU